GAACGCACAUUGCGCCCAUUCGUACUCUAGUGGGCAUGCCUGUUCGAGCGUCAUUUCAACCCUUAAGCCUAGCUUAGUGUUGGCUGUCUACCGCAAGGUAGUGGCCCAAAUACAACGGCGGAUCCGUGGUAUCCUCUGAGCGUAGUAAUUUUUAUCUCGCUUUUGACAGGUGCUGCAGCUCUCGGCCGCUAAACCCCCAAUUUUUCAAUGGUUGACCUCGGAUCAGGUAGGAAUACCCGCUGAACUUAAG
rnacentral:misc_RNA from 1 species